AGGGCAAUAGCUCAGAGAUAGAGCUUUCGCCUCAUUUGGGGAAAGACCCGGAUUCGACUCCCGGCUGCUUUG
rnacentral:tRNA from 1 species